GACGAACGCUGGCGGCGUGCUUAACACAUGCAAGUCGAACGGAAAGGCCUGCUUUCCCUUGUGGAUUGCGGGUACUCGAGUGGCGAACGGGUGAGUAACACGUGAGUGAUCUGCCCCCAACUUGGGUAUAAGCCUGGGAAACUGGGUCUAAUUCCCGAUAGGACCGCAGGGUGGUGCCUGUGGUGGAAAACGAUUUUCUAGUGGUUGGGGAUGAGCUCGCGGCCUAUCAGCUUGUUGGUGGGGUAAUGGCCUACCAAGGCGGCGACGGGUAGCCGGCCUGAGAGGGUGGACGGCCACAUUGGGACUGAGAUACGGCCCAGACUCCUACGGGAGGCAGCAGUGGGGAAUAGUGCACAAUGGGCGGAAGCCUGAUGCAGCGACGCCGCGUGGGGGAUGACGGCCUUCGGGUUGUAAACUCCUUUCGACCGCGAGGAAGCCACCUGGUUGGAAGGGUGGUGACGGUAGUGGUAGAAGAAGCACCGGCUAACUACGUG
rnacentral:rRNA from 1 species